rnacentral:sRNA from 2 species
CCGGCAGGUGUAUCCGAACGAGCUGACCACGGCUUAUUCGGACGACGCGCUCCUCGGACCCUCCUUCUUCCGCGUCGGCCGGUGGCAAUACAACAUCCAUGGCGGACACCACGUCCAGCGUUUCGACCUGGAUGCUGUCAUUGACAUGCCGGCCGCACGUGUGGAGAAGGUCGUGUUCCGCGUUAAGUCAAACUGGGGCGCGGCGCAUACAUGUCUCUAUCGUGUGAGACUGCAUGGACACCUAUAGGCAUACUUCCGCCGGAAGCUAUGGGUCUUGGUGGAAAUGGUGUUUUCUUUCUCCCCUAACUGGUAAGCUGGAUGGAAUGUACGGUGGUUAACAUGGUGGGUGUGGUUUUUACUGAGAGCGGGCUAAAGGGGGUUUUGUGAGUGUUCCUGGGGUUGUAUUACAUGCGUUGUUUGUGGGUAUUAUAUGUGUCUUGUACAGAUAUAUAGAAGGGCUCUUGGUGUUGAGUAGGUUGGGUGUUUGGGAUUUGGUGUUCUGGGUUCUUGAUGUCGCAUUUCGUCUGGGUGGUGGAUUUGGAGGGUUUUUUCGAGUCUGGAGUUUUGGGCUAGAUAUUCAACAAGGCAGGUGUGUGUGGGCGGUUUCUGGGUAAUGUACUGGACUUGGUCUUUGUUGCUAGCGGUGCAGGAUGUCUUUUUAUUUUAUUUUAUUUUAUUUUUUAUUUUAUUUUUUUUUUCUUCCGAAAUUUUCUUUUCUGCCAUUUUAUGUUUGUUUUCCGCUCCCUCUCUCUACAGUUAUGUGUGAGCGUUUUUUCUGUAUCAUUCCCACAUAUUCUCCUUAGUUUUUGAUUUUUGAUAUUUUUUGAUAUUUAUUUUCCAGCUUGCGUGUCCUCUCUGUACCCUGCAUAUAAAGCUGCGUCUUUUUUUUCUUUCUUUUUCUUAUAGUUUAUUCUAUUUUAUUUGUAUUCUUCUCUUUGUUUACCUUUUACUGUGGCAAUGUAUUUAUCGAUUUCCCGGGCAUCUACCUGGCAUAGAUUGCAUGACGUUUAUUAAUAGUGAGAUUCAACUC